rnacentral:rRNA from 1 species
GAUGAACGCUGGCGGCGUGCCUAAUACAUGCAAGUCGAGCGAACGGACGAGAAGCUUGCUUUUCUGAUGUUAGCGGCGGACGGGUGAGUAACACGUGGAUAACCUACCUAUAAGACUGGGAUAACUUCGGGAAACCGGAGCUAAUACCGGAUAAUAUUUUGAACCGCAUGGUUCAAAAGUGAAAGACGGUCUUGCUGUCACUUAUAGAUGGAUCCGCGCUGCAUUAGCUAGUUGGUAAGGUAACGGCUUACCGAGGCAACGAUGCAUAGCCGACCUGAGAGGGUGAUCGGCGACACUGUAACUGAGACACGGUCCAGACUCCUACGGGAGGCAGCAGUAGGGAAUCUUCCGCAAUGGGCGAAAGCCUGACGGAGCAACGCCGCGUGAGUGAUGAAGGUCUUCGGAUCGUAAAACUCUGUUAUUAGGGAAGAACAUAUGUGUAAGUAACUGUGCACAUCUUGACGGUACCUAAUCAGAAAGCCACGGCUAACUACGUG